ACUAAAAAAAGUCCACCCAAGAUUCAAAGAAAAUUUGAAAUAAAAAUAAGGUAUACUUAAAGUGGCAUACUAAAAAAUCUAAGAAAAUUAAACAAAAAAAUCCCUAAAAGAAAAAAAAAACACAAAUCUUGUAAAAAAAGAAUUAUAUUCCCAAAAGAACCAAAGAAACUCAAAACCUUUUAAUCACCAAAAUCAACAAAAUAACAAAAAAGAAAAAAAAAUCCCCUUAAAUUGAUCCUGCUUAAGUUUUGCCAUUUGCUGCUAACGUUACUUGUCUAUACAUAUAUGUAUGAACGUGUAAAUUUUGAUUUCCCUUACACUUUUUGUUGUUGUUGUUGUUAUUAUUGCUGUUGCUGUUCCCUACAAAGCCUUGAAGGCAAACAAAAGAACAACAACAUAUUCAACAACAAAUUCAACAUCAACCUUAGCAUCAAGAAACUCAAACUCAACAACAACAUCAACACUGGCACCGGCACCAUUACCAAUAUAGUCAUCAUCUAUAUCAUCAUCCUCAUCAACAUUGUAAGGCACCACCACCACCUCAUCAUCAGCGGCACGGUGUGUGAAAAUUCCCAUGAAAUGUUGCUGGAAUACAUGACAAUGCUGUUUAUUUUCGGAUUAACCACAAUACACCUGGAAAGGAGUCGCAUUAGUGUUCAAGCCAUAAAACUGUUAACCAACGAAACCAUCCACGACAUCAACAACAUGAUAUUGGAAAGCUAUGAUCAAUUAGAGCCAGAAUUUGAGAACACUACAAAUCGCGAUGUAAUUGGAGCGGUGGGCACAACAGCGCGCUUGCACUGUCGAGUGCGAAACCUGGGCGACCGGGCGGUCUCGUGGAUAAGAAAGCGCGACUUGCACAUACUGACGAUAGGCAUAAUGACCUACACAAAUGAUCAGAGGUUUCUGGCGCGACACAUUGACAACUCCGAUGAGUGGGUGUUGAAAAUAGUCUCAGUACAGCCACGAGAUGCGGGCAUCUAUGAGUGUCAGGUGUCGACGGAGCCAAAAAUUAGUCAAGCAUAUAAAUUAACCGUUGUCACAUCGCGAGCACAAAUACUCUCGAACCGUGAACUGUUCGUGCAGAGUGGCAGUGACAUUAAUUUAACCUGCAUCGCACCACAGGCGCCCGGCCCCUACACUCACAUGCUGUGGUACAAAGACAGCGAACUAAUCAACGACUCAACAAGGGGCGGCAUACGGGUUGUGUCAGAGCAGCAAAUGAAAACGAGCAAUUUGGUGAUUUCACGCGUAACUCACACAGACUCCGGCAACUACACGUGUGCGGCCGACAAUUCAAAUAGCGACAGUGUUUUUGUACAUAUCAUCAAUAGCGAAAAACAUGCCGCCAUGCAACAUGAACUGGCAACACGACUGCACGUACCACACAGCCUUCUACUAAUACUGACAAUAUUCUAUAUAUUGGAACGAGUCAUCAAAUGAAAUUGUAUCCACAGUCUGUGCUUAUCAUUAGUCCUAACAAAUCCUCACAUUAUCCACCGCCAAGCAAGCAAAUCGUCAUUAUGUAGUAGCAGGAACAGCAGCAGCAGCAGCCGGAGAAGAACCACUAGGAGCAGCAUCAAGCGUAGCCACGAAUCCUGCAGCUUGUACCAUAACCAGCAGAAGAUGACUGAUGCCGAAAACAACUAUUCCAUGUUGAGCAAGACGGCGCCUUUGAAAGAUGCCAGGCGUUGAUUUUGAUGUUUUUUUUUCGCUUUCCUGUUUUUCUCCAUUCUUCGACACAGAAGAUAUGUAACCUUUUUCGUCUACCAUGAGCAUAACUUAAGGUGUCAGCACAAACAAGGGGAGCAUAAUCAAAAAAAA